rnacentral:rRNA from 1 species
GACGGAGGGUGCUAGCGUUGUUCGGAAUUACUGGGCGUAAAGGGCGCGUAGGCGGCCGCUCAAGUCGGGUGUGAAAGCCCGGGGCUCAACCCCGGAACUGCACUCGAGACUGGGUGGCUGGAGAUCGGAAGAGGAGAGUGGAACACCCAGUGUAGAGGUGAAAUUCGUAGAUAUUGGGUAGAACACCGGUGGCGAAAGCGGCUCUCUGGUCCGAUUCUGACGCUGAGGCGCGAAAGCGUGGGGAG